rnacentral:rRNA from 1 species
GACAGAGGGUGCAAACGUUGUUCGGAAUUACUGGGCGUAAAGCGCGUGUAGGCGGCAGGGCAUGUCGGAUGUGAAAUCCCGUGGCUCAACCACGGAAGUGCACCCGAAACUGCCCAGCUUGAGUCUCGGAGAGGAAGGCGGAAUGCUUGGUGUAGAGGUGAAAUUCGUAGAUAUCAAGCGGAACACCGGUGGCGAAAGCGGCUCUCUGGAACGGUACUGACGCUGAGACGCGAAAGCGUGGGGAGCGAACAGG